CUCAGUGCAAUAUCGUUUUACUUUAUCUUUGGCAUGAGGACUGUCUUUAUACACAACAACUUUCUCAUCUGCUUUAUUUAGCACCUCAGUGGCCAUCACCUGAGAAACUUUCUGAAUUACUGUGUUUCAAGUGGAGCAACUUUACAACAAAACAAACAUAUUUAUUGAUUUGUCACAGUCCAGAGAGCUGCUUCCUGUCCCCAGGGGUCCAGCAAAGCAGGAGGUGGAGGUGAAAAAUGAAACUAACGGCAGUUCUAGACUGAGCCAUGAGAUGUGUGCAAACCUUUAGAUGGCCCCAUCCCCAGCCAUCAUUCCCAUGGUUUUCCCUCCAGUCUGCUGGAGCUGUCACCAAGAGCAGACGUUCCUGCCUGACUGGGAGGCCAGCUAAGCUCAUCAGAUUUGGGGGCCUGACAGUGAGUUCCCUUCCUUACCCAGGUCCCCUCCACUGGCCCUACCUCUGAUCCAGAGGAGGACAGGGCAUGGCCAGGGCCUCCACUGGCACUGUCCUCUGUCCUUCCUCCCAGGAAAGCCCUCCCUACCAUCAGUGGGAAUUCAAACACUACACGCUCUCCCCGGAGGUCAGAGACCCCACCUGAGCCCCCGGGAGUCUGUGGUUCCCCCGGCAGGAAAGUGGGAGGCCUGUGGAGCCUCCAUGAUUCUUCUAGGAGACUCUGUUGGGGGGUCUUGUAAAGGAGGGAGGGGACAGGGCAUAGAUUAAAAAUGGUCAAGAAAAUCACAUCUUUGGAUCUCAGAGAUGAAUCUCCAAGAUGGAGGCUGGCCCUGCAUGCAGCCAACCUGGGGCUAGAGGCUGGGGCCAGGGUGGGAAUCUCUGGGCAAUGGCGGCAGCUACACCUCAAAGACAUCCCCUGAGGCUGUGGCUGUCACACUGCAGAGGCCACACUGCCCUAACCAAGGGCAGCAGAGCCCAGGAAGUUUUAUCCAGUCCUUCUGCUCAGAUUGGGCCUCGAGUCCCCCAGCGCCUGCAGUCAUGGAAACCAAGAGAUAAAAAAAUGUCCUACCUCAUGCCCCCCUGGUGGGAAUGGACAAUAGGUCGGCUGCUGUGGGAAACAGUAUGAAGGUUCCUCAAAACAUUAAAAACAGAAUUACAAUAUGACCCAGCAAUUCCAGUUCUGGGUUGAUACCCAAAAGAACUGAAAUCAGGGACUUGAAGAUAGUAUUUGCACGACCCCUGUUCACAGCAGCAUAUCGGCAAUAGCCCAGAGGUGGAAACAACCCAAGUGUCCACUGAUGAGUGACUGGAAACAAAAUGGCAUAGGCAUACAACGGGAAUAUUACUCAACAUUACAAAGGAAGGAAAUUUUGAUACAUGCUACAACAUGCUAAGUGAAAUGAACCAGUCACCAAAAAAAAAACCCCAAACCUAAACAAAACAAAAACAAAUACUGUAUGAUACCACUCAUAGGAGCUACCUGGAGAAGUCAAAUUCCUAAGAGACAGAAAGCAGAAGAUUAAGGGUUGGGGUUGGAAGAAAGGAUGCCGUAGGGAGUUACAGUUUAAUGGGUACAGCGUUUCAGUUCUGCAAGAUGAAAGGAUGUCUGGAGAUUGGCUGCACAAUGGUGUGAAUGUACCUACUACUGAGCUAUGUACAUAAAAAUCAUUGGGCACGAUAAAUUUCAUGUUGUAUGUAUUUUACCACAAUUCAAAAAAAUGGUCCAUUAAGUGUACGGGUUUUGGGAGUUUGGGAAUCAAGAAGACGUGAGGGAUGUGUUUUGUGUUUUUUUUCUUUUAGUACAGGCUCUGCUUGCACAACUUCUCUGAGCCUCAGUUACUUCAUCUGCAAAAUGGGGUCAGUAGGUAUCUGCCUUGUGUGGUUCCCACGCAGAUUAUGUAAGGGGAAGUUGGUCAGAUCCUAAGCACAGUGCCUGGCACACAGCCAGGACUCCACAAAUGGCAGCUCUUCCCUUCAUCAUCAUCUAUUACUAUAGUAAUAGAUGGGUUCAUGAGCUUUGGGAGUUAUUCAGAACAAUGCCAAGGGGCAAGGAAGGGCAGAGCCACAUAUCUUACAGCCAGGAUGCAAAGGUCCUAUGGUGAAUGUCGCUCAGGCCGCUCUGGGGGAGGGUCCUUAGGUCCCAGUAGCAGCAGACAGCCACACACCUACAUGGAGAGCUCUCCAGCCCCGGACAUGCUCGGGCUGCUCAGAAACCACAGAAGUCGGCUUGUUCUGCAGCAGAUGCCGUCAGCCUGAUGAGAUUUCAAGUUCGAUCACUGUCAUUUAGCUGGCCUGCCUAGUGGCACCAAGCAAAAGCAGACCAUUCCAUUUCUAAGUAAACGUUUCCAGAUUCCAAUCUCUGAGGCCGGGCAUUUUGUAGGGCACAAGGGACUCAGACCUUGAACUUCACCAGGAUUAAGCAAAACUUUGUCCCCACCAAUGAACGUUUCCACUGACCAAACCAUGUCUUCCUGGUUCUUUCCUCUGGGGAUUGUGUGGAGCCUCAAUACACUGUAUACACAGUACAGGGCAUGUCAAACUGUUUCAGAUGCAGGAUGUUACCAACUCAGCAUGUAUGUCUAACUCCUUGGCUGGGCUCUUGAAGCCUUUCUUGAUCUAAUUUCUGCCUCUCCCCAGCCUCAUCUGCUGCUCCCCCCAAGCAUGCAUCCGCUCUGGCUUUCUAAACUAUGCAGUGUUCCUCACACGUGGUCUUAUUUCCGUAAGCCUCCCUGGCUUUGAACCAAGAAUGUUUCUGCAAGGAAUGCCCUUCCUCUCCACAACUGAGAAUUCCUAGAUAUCAUCCAAAAUACAGCUCAACUGUCACCUCUUCCAGGAAGCCGGCUGAGAAAUGUGAAGGGUCUAAGACUUUACCCUGCUUGCAAAGUGACAAGUGAACCUUCCACGGCUUCAUGGAUGGCAGCAGAAGACAGGAGACCCCUGGGUCAGAGACAAAGGACCUUACUGCUGACAACACAGAAGUAGUAUGAGCUUCAUGUCUGUGACGGGUCCCCUUGGCUUCAAGUCCCAUGGGGCAACCAAGGGGGGCCCAGGUGGGUGCUGUGCAUUCAGUGGGUGUGCAUCAGAGCUGAGGAAUGUCCGGCUUAGAAAACCCAAAUCUUUUAUAACAGACUGCAGUCAAACCUGCCCUCUGCCCAGGAGGAAGAGCCAUCUCUGUCUUCCAAGGCUGCUUGCUGUACAAACAUCCUUGAAAAGACAGUCUGGAGCAAAAGGGCAAUUAGUGCCUCUGUUUAUAAAAUGAGCACAAAUGCCACAGACUAGGAAGGACUGUCUCCCAAAAAAAGUCCUCCCUGGCUACCUGAUAUGGCAGCUGCACGGUGCUCCCUCCCACCAUGCCCUGUAUGACCUCUGCCUUAGGAAGAAAUAUGAAUUCACGUUAUGACCGGUGUAUUUUUUUUUUUGGUCUACUACCAGCCUGGGUGCUCUCUGAAGUCAGGGACUGUCUUUUCUGUUUAUCUGUCAGACACAAAGAAGUGCUCAAUAAAUGUGCAAAUAAAUGAA